GUUACAAGAAUAAAGAUAACCAAGACAAGAGCUCUUUUCAUCUGCUUUAGUUUGUUGGAGCCUUAUGAUACCUCUGUGGAAAGGGCUGAAAAGAUAUUUCCACCAUCAUUUUCUAAAUGAAGAAACCAAGGCCCCGAGACCAAGUGUGAUUUAACUCAGCUAGCACUUGCUGAGUGAGAAUUGCUGUGUGCUGCAUGCUCUGGAGAAGAUAGUCACUUUAGUGGUGGAAUGACACAUGUCCACUAGGAGCUGUAGCAAAAGUCCGUGUGGUGAGGCCUGUCAGAAAGGAACAGGGGGGUGAUGUGUCCUCUGGGCUGGCUGUGCCAGGAGCAUUUCUCUCUAAGGACAGGCACUGGACUGCCAGGAGCAUGGUAUCAACUGGAAGGAUGGUCAUCUUUCUUUGAGAUACUUGUCUUUGGGCAAGAUUUAAGAGAAUCAA
rnacentral:sRNA from 1 species